rnacentral:rRNA from 1 species
GGGGGACGGAGAAGGCUAUGUCGGCCGGGCGACGGUUGUCCCGGUUUAAGCGUGUAGGCUGACUUUCCAGGCAAAUCCGGAAAGUUAAGGCUGAGGCGUGAUGACGAGGCACCACGGUGCUGAAGUGACAAAUGCCCUGCUUCCAGGAAAAGCCUCUAAGCAUCAGGUAACAUCAAAUCGUACCCCAAACCGACACAGGUGGUCAGGUA